rnacentral:rRNA from 1 species
GUCGGUGGCGAUACUGCGGGGGAAACACCUCUUCCCAUUCCGAACAGAGAAGUUAAGCCCCGCAAGGCCAAUGGUACUGCCGGGUUCCCCGGUGGGAGAGUAGGUAGCUGCCGACC